rnacentral:rRNA from 1 species
AUUGAACGCUGGCGGCAUGCCUUACACAUGCAAGUCGAACGGCAGCACGGGCUUCGGUCUGGUGGCGAGUGGCGAACGGGUGAGUAAAGUAUCGGAACGUACCAUUGAGUGGGGGAUAACGUAGCGAAAGUUACGCUAAUACCGCAUAUACCCCGAGGGGGAAAGCAGGGGAUCUUAGGACCUUGUGCUCUUUGAGCGGCCGAUAUCAGAUUAGCUAGUUGGUGAGGUAAAGGCUCACCAAGGCGACGAUCUGUAGCGGGUCUGAGAGGAUGAUCCGCCACACUGGGACUGAGACACGGCCCAGACUCCUACGGGAGGCAGCAGUGGGGAAUUUUGGACAAUGGGGGCAACCCUGAUCCAGCCAUGCCGCGUGAGUGAAGAAGGCCUUCGGGUUGUAAAGCUCUUUCAGCCGGGAAGAAAUCGCACAGGCUAAUAUCCUGUGUGGAUGACGGUACCGGAAUAAGAAGCACCGGCUAACUACGUGCCAGCAGCCGCAGUAACAC